GACGAACGCUGGCGGCGUGCUUAACACAUGCAAGUCGAACGGAAAGGCCCUGCUUUUGUGGGGUGCUCGAGUGGCGAACGGGUGAGUAACACGUGAGUAACCUGCCCUUUACUUUGGGAUAACUUCAGGAAACUGGGUCUAAUACCGGAUAUGAGCUCCUGCUGCAUGGUGGGGGUUGGAAAGUUUCGGCGGUUGGGGAUGGACUCGCGGCUUAUCAGCUUGUUGGUGGGGUAGUGGCUUACCAAGGCUUUGACGGGUAGCCGGCCUGAGAGGGUGACCGGCCACAUUGGGACUGAGAUACGGCCCAGACUCCUACGGGAGGCAGCAGUGGGGAAUAUUGCACAAUGGGCGGAAGCCUGAUGCAGCAACGCCGCGUGCGGGAUGACGGCCUUAGGGUUGUAAACCGCUUUCGCCUGUGAAGAAGAGUGAGUGACGGUAAUGGGUAAAGAAGCACCGGCUAACUACGUG
rnacentral:rRNA from 1 species